rnacentral:lncRNA from 1 species
AAUACUAAAUUUAUAAAUAGGUAUGUAAAAUAUGUAUCUGAAAUGUAUAAAAUAUGAUUUUAUGUUUUGAAAGUUUUUAUAAAUUCUAAAAAGUAUAAUAAUUAAUUAAAGUAAAAAUCUCUAUCCUUCCAGACUUGUGUAUUCUGGUCGAUGAAAACCUUAGACAUUCAUCAACUUCGGCAAAACUCAUAUUUCUUGUUUCUAAUUAGUAUUAACCACAGGUACAUGAUAGAUUAGUUCCAAACACAAAAGCGUCAAGUUAACAACUUUGUAGUAAAUUUAAAAAAUUAUUCACCAAAUUUAUUGUUAGUCAAUAAUUAAUAAAGUUCUUGCAUAUAAACUAUUUGUAUUCCACAAGAAAAAUAGACUAACAUAUACUCCUCUUCUUUAAUUUCGUGUUGCAUGCUCUUUCGAGAAUAAUUUUACAUUUCUUUCAGGAGUUUAUACAAGUUUAUUUAUCUUCUGUUUGGUAGAAAUUUUUUGAAAAUAAAUUUGUAAAAAUUGAAUUUAUUUUUUAUUUUUUGGAGGAUUUAUAACAUACACAGCCCUUAAGUGUCUUGCGCAGACAGAAAACCUAGCUCAAGCCACGUCACAAGUACGAGCUGGAUGCAUAGUAAUUGGUCUCCUGCUUCAAGCUUAGUCAGAGUACUUUUCUCUUGGAAGUAUGGAAUAAAACAAAAGUGAAAUUUCUUUGUUAUCUUCUCUCAGUUCUGGACUUCCUAUGGAGGUUAUGAGAAACUUAUAAAUUAUAAUAGUUUGAUUAUAGUAAUGGCAAGUUCAACAAGGUUUUGGUCCCAACUUCCAAGAGGUUGGAAAGAGCAAGGUCUAAACAAGUGCUACAUAUACUUUCACAAAGAGAUAGACAACCCUUCUCUCUCCCUUUUUUGCAGGAAACUCAUCUCUGAAUUAGCUACGCCAUGUCUAGCAAAUAUAACAAUCCCCAGCCCCCCAAUCGGACAACAUUAGUAAUCUAAGUCUCCAUCAAGGUCCAACUCUGUCUCUUUGUGCCAGUGCCACCGCCUUAUGUGAGCACAAUUUCCUGCGGACUUUCUCAGCCAUCAGAGAGAGAGAGUGGGGCUGGAGCAUGCAAACCCUCCCAUUUCUUCCAUUUCGUGCACUCUUAUUUGCAGAAAGUUGGCAUUCUCUGAACUCUCUCCCUCAGUGGCCCUUUCAUGACUUUAGGUUGAAGGAGAAGCCUUUGAGAUGUGGGGGUUCAGAAAUUGCCAGCCUUCUUACCAGUUUCAACAGUUCAUUAAUAAGCCGCGUGCAGAUAUAUAUACAAAAUUAGUAAGUAUUAAUUUGUUUUAGAAACUUUUAAACUCUAACUUACAUGCUCUAACUCAAUGAUAGAAUCCGAAAAAUAGCCUUUUGUUUUUCUUUGAAAAGUUAUAAUUCAAAAUAUUGUUCUCUGGAUUUCUUCAUCUCUUUUUUCACUUCUAAAGAAUUGGAUUUUGUUAUGUUUUGUACAAAAUAAGAACCCUUGCUACCUGGCAUGACCUCACUACCAAUGCCAGAUGUAAUAUGCUUAAUUUAAAUUUUGUCCAAUUCCUUCCACACAAACAAUAAAACAGUAAUAAUACAACCCUCUUUAUUUGCUACUGUGCAAGUUGAACAAUGUUUUGGUUUAUGGAACUUCGAAGGAUAUUUAGUGUCAACGGGCUUCAUGUUUUUUCAUCCUUUUUCUCAUAUCGGUUGACAAGAGGAUGAUUUGAACCAUCAGAAUCCCUUUUCUAUUCGGAGAAGUUCUUUUCAACGUGCAUUACUCUUUUAUGCCAAUAUAGCAUCUACUUGAAUAGUGGGUAUUUGAAAUUCUAUUUUCCUGAUAUGUAUGGUUAUUUUUGUUGGAAUGUUUUAAACUUUCACAAUAAAUAUUAAUUUUCAUUUUGAUUUCAAUAUUAACUUUUUAUACAAAAUUAAAUCUCAUAAUUUAGGUUGUAACUUAAGAAUAAAAGUUUCAACCUUUCAAAUUAAAACCUCUUAAUUUCAAGUUUUAACAUAAAAUUAAAAUAUCAUAAUACAUAUUAUAACUUAUGCUUUAAUGAUAUAAAUGUGGGGGGUUGAAUUUUCUACUAUAAAAAAAGGUGGAUUUCAUAUCCUUUUUGACACACAAAAAAAUCAAACACAAAAGAUACUCUUUAGUAUUUUCAUACUACUCUCUAAUCAUUUUAUACUAUAUUUCUAAAGUUUGUAGCAACUUGAUGAAAGACUCGUUCAAUUAUCUCUUUAUGGUCGUGCCCAUAGAAGGAGAGCCACAUGAGUUUUAUUUUGGAGCCAUGUAGUACUGAAAGAACCCGCACGAAGGGUGGACAACACAACUUUAAGACAGCGUCCUCUACGUGACUCCCAAGGCUUGAUUUUCUAACUCUCUUCUUAUAUUUAUAUUAUUUUGAAUCAUGUUAAUGUUAUUUAAUUGAAUUGUGCAAAUCAUCAAUUUCCC